AAAGACGGUCUUGCUGUCACUUAUAGAUGGACCCGCGCCGUAUUAGCUAGUUGGUGGGGUAACGGCCUACCAAGGCGACGAUACGUAGCCGACCUGAGAGGGUGAUCGGCCACACUGGAACUGAGACACGGUCCAGACUCCUACGGGAGGCAGCAGUAGGGAAUCUUCCGCAAUGGGCGAAAGCCUGACGGAGCAACGCCGCGUGAGUGAUGAAGGUCUUCGGAUCGUAAAGCUCUGUUGUUAGGGAAGAACAAAUGUGUAAGUAACUGUGCACAUCUUGACGGUACCUAACCAGAAAGCCACGGCUAACUACGUGCCAGCAGCCGCGGUAAUACGUAGGUGGCAAGCGUUAUCCGGAAUUAUUGGGCGUAAAGCGCGCGUAGGCGGUUUUUUAAGUCUGAUGUGAAAGCCCACGGCUCAACCGUGGAGGGUCAUUGGAAACUGGAAAACUUGAGUGCAGAAGAGGAAAGUGGAAUUCCAUGUGUAGCGGUGAAAUGCGCAGAGAUAUGGAGGAACACCAGUGGCGAAGGCGGCUUUCUGGUCUGCAACUGACGCUGAUGUGCGAAAGCGUGGGGAUCAAACAGGAUUAGAUACCCUGGUAGUCCACGCCGUAAACGAUGAGUGCUAAGUGUUAGGGGGUUUCCGCCCCUUAGUGCUGCAGCUAACGCAUUAAGCACUCCGCCUGGGGAGUACGGUCGCAAGACUGAAACUCAAAGGAAUUGACGGGGACCCGCACAAGCGGUGGAGCAUGUGGUUUAAUUCGAAGCAACGCGAAGAACCUUACCAAAUCUUGACAUCCUUUGACCGCUCUAGAGAUAGAGUUUUCCUCUUCGGAGGACAAAGUGACAGGUGGUGCAUGGUUGUCGUCAGCUCGUGUCGUGAGAUGUUGGGUUAAGUCCCGCAACGAGCGCAACCCUUGAACUUAGUUGCCAUCAUUCAGUUGGGCACUCUAAGUUGACUGCCGGUGACAAACCGGAGGAAGGUGGGGAUGACGUCAAAUCAUCAUGCCCCUUAUGAUUUGGGCUACACACGUGCUACAAUGGACAAUACAAAGGGCAGCGAAACCGCGAGGUCAAGCAAAUCCCAUAAAGUUGUUCUCAGUUCGGAUUGUAGUCUGCAACUCGACUACAUGAAGCUGGAAUCGCUAGUAAUCGUAGAUCAGCAUGCUACGGUGAAUACGUUCCCGGGUCUUGUACACACCGCCCGUCACACCACGAGAGUUUGUAACACCCGAAGCCGGUGGAGUAACCAUUUUGGAGCUAGCCGUCGAAGGUGGGACAAAUGAUUGGGGUGAAGUCGUAACAAGGUAGCCGUAUCGGAAGGUGCGGCUGGAUCACCUCCUUUCUA
rnacentral:rRNA from 1 species